GGGGCGUUAGCUCAGUUGGCUAGAGUGUCAGACUGGCAGUCUGAAGGUCACGGGUUCGACUCCCGUACGCUCCA
rnacentral:tRNA from 4 species